CUGCAAACCUUUUCUGGAAUUGCCCUGCCAACCCCAGGGGGCCGGGGGCCACCCUCCCCGACGCAGCCGGAGCACUAGGGGCCUCCGCCCCCCGCCCGCCCGAGCCCUAGUCUGUAUGGACUAAGCCGCCCGGGGUCGGGACAGUUGGGGGAGAAAGACUUUUAAAAGACCUAAAAAGACUUUAAGAAGAAUAAAAAGAGUGAGGAGGAUCAGGUGUGCUCAGCUCGCUGACCUUGGACUCCGGAGGCUCACACCCUGGGGCUGUGCGGCACCUGCUUUGAAAAGGAAUCGCGGCAUCCAGUGUAGCACUGUUUGUAAUAGCGAAGAGGGGAAAACAGCCGACACACACCACGCAAAAGUCCCAGCGAGAGAGGUAACCUGUGUGCCCCCUUCAGGAAUCCCAGCAUGUCCAGCCGGAGUACCCAUGGGGUGUUGCUUCAUGUCGUCUUGGGAGAGGGAACCCCAGCACUGGGAAGAUCAUCAAAAGACACUGGCUGAUUGCUGCUGGGAAUACAAGAGCCAUUAAAGAAAAUGAACUGAGAGUGUGCUUCAUUUUU